CCAACUGUAUCUAAGCAUAUUACUAAGUUGAGGAAAAUAAACUAACUGGGACUCUCCCAUUAACAGCUAGGUAAAAACCCUGUGCUGGAAAACUUGAAAAGAACUUUGAAGAAAAAGAUUAACAGAGCAUGGGUGUGGUCCAUGUUGUCCACUCAGAAGAUUCAAACUGAAAAAUGCCACCACCCUCUCCCAUCUCCUGGGGCAGAGGGAGUCUAUCACCUCUGUGCCUACCUGUCACAUCCUGUUCCUAGCUGCGGAUCAUUCUGGCAAUGGCUUCUGGUAUCCAGUACUCUUUUUACAAUUCUUGUUUAGUUUUUCUUGGUUUUUCUGGUUUUCUAUUCUAUGUCUGGUUUUCUUUAUGCUGGGGUUCUGGGUUCAUUCCUUUUAUUAGGUUCCUGGAAUUCCCAGUCUCCAGGAUUCAUUUAAAUGUUUGUUUUAUGUUGCCACACCCGUUUUUCAUCAUUCCUUUUGUUUCAGUGUUCCUGCAGGCAACUGCUCAAGUCUUCUGCCCUUUCUUGCAGGUAAGUACUAUGUGUGUUUUCUUUGGUUGGUUUAGCUUGCAUUAGGCAGAGUAGGACCUGCCAGAUAUGCCUAUUGUGACGAGAGCAACAUUGCAUUAGAGAAGCCUGGUUCCUCGCCUGUUGCCUUUAGACUAUGGCCCCAUGUUAAAAGACAUCUUUUUUUUACCUGCAGAAAAGAUUUAUUCGUUCUUUUCUGCCUGGUGUUCGGUAGAUUCAAUCUACCGAACAACUGCACGAAUGACUGGACCACCUGGUAGCUGGAGUGUGCCGGCAAUUAGCCUCCCUGAAGCUGCAGUUAACCGCAGCUUAAUUGACGAAUGCUGGGUGGCCACCAUUCGUAUCACGAACACUAAGUCGCGGCCAUUUUAAACACGCGAACGCACAGCGGUGUUCGACGUUUAAUUCAUGGAACUGAAAUUGGACACAGUUUUGCGCAAACACCGCUAAAGCCGCCGACCUCCCUUCUUGUUCGGUGAAAGUGCACGAACGGCCUGGUGUUCAGUAGUUUUGUUUGAAUGUGUUAUACCCCAGAUAGGAAUCCCAUGGAGCCCAUUCGCAUGAAACUGACUGUGUAAAGACUUUGGCUUCAUGGCAAUUAAACUGUAUUCAUGUGGUCUGAGCGCCAUUCACUUAAUAAUGUGCUCUCACACCUGAGCUAUCUGGGGAUAUGUUAAAUGUAUGCUUUUAAUGUUAUGUGUCUCACAUAGUGCAUUUUAAUAUUAAUUCCUGUGUUAGUAUCCCCACGUGCAUAAUGGCGAUUUGCCUUUGUCUUGGGAGAUAAUUGAAUUACUUCUCAAUUAUCUUCAGGGCAGAGGGGAGGAAGCCAGGAUGCAUUGUGGGAAUAUAAUGUGACUGUGUGUUCUAUUUGUCUACUUGUCUGUCCCUUGUCACAGUCUCCCAUUUGGUCCCCUAGGGGACUGUCCAACAGGUGGGAGACCUGCAUAAAUAGGUAGCCCUCAUUAAACAGACCACUGCUUGACCCUCAACACGGAGCCUUGUCUCGUCUUUGGGGGGAUUUACUGAAUGCUGAUAGAGACUGAUUGCUAGGAGUGUAAGCCGCUUGGAUGCUUUUCUUAUUCGUCUGCUAGCAGCGAUUCGUAUGGUCCCAGUUCGUGUGUUUGGAGUGCUAUAUUGGAUGCCGUUCUGGAGUUUGGAGCAUUCCCUUAUUGGCGGUUUGUGAGUUUGGUGUUUUAUAAUAGCUGUGGCUGCAUCUCUGAGAAGGGGGCGAUCGCCUAAACGUUUUUUAACCUCUUGUGUGCCGAAAUGGUCCGUUACACCCAUCAUAUCUUGUCUUGUUUUAGUUUGUAUUCCCAGCCCAUGUACAGUCCUGUCCAGUCCUGCCCAUGUUAUGUCAAUGUUUCCCUUAUGUAUUGUGUACAUGUUCUGGGUUUAGCUUCCUAUCCUUCUCUGGUUCUGGGUUCUAUUGGUUCUGUCUUGUUUUUCAUGUUUGGUGACUAUCCUAGUUUUUCCUUGUUUCAGUACUGGAUACAUUCUUGCUGCAGUACCUCCCUAUUCAGCUCUGGGAGGUCUGCUUAAUUCCUGCUCCUAGUUCCUGGGAUCCGCAUAAGCUGGAUCAGGGUUCUGGUAUGUGGCUGUACAAACGCUGGUGCUCAACACCACGGGGCAUGCGGUUACCCUGCACCAGACCCUGCUAAUCCACCACCACACUGUGACUCCUACUCUGAACAUCAGGCAUACUGGGUUCCGGUCCUCGCACCGCCACCCGGACAGUGUCUGGGUCCCGGGCACUGGACUGCCACCCUGACACUACCUCUGUCAACUCAUCCUGCUAUUCCCUGUUCCCCUGCUCUGUGAGCACCAGCCACUUUACCAACAAGAUGAGAGCCAUUGGUCCACAGUCAUCUUGCAGGCUUAUCCGACCUGCUUUGAAACAAAGACCAAGGAGUCAACACGUGCAUGAGUACAAUGAAGGUGAGAGCUGGGGUGCCCUGACCAAAGUAGGUUACCUCCACCCCACAUGACAUUUACCGCAGCACCGGGCCAUCUCCCCAGACCUGUACAGGUGGUGGAACAUGAGCAUGCAUUAUAGGACCUGUGAAAUUGUGAAAUAUGCCUGUGCAGGGCAAAGCUGAAGGUGGUUGGCAGUGUCCUACCUGGAUAUAGGUGGGAAUGACUAUUCAUCACGAUAGCUGGUGCUUACUUAUUCUCCGUUUUAUUCAGUAAAGCAGAUGAUUAGAGGUAUUGGCACCAAAACAAUCUCAACCCAUUCUCAAAAUGUAAUUGGGUCAUAUGCCUGGCUCACUGGCUUGAAGGCAUGGUGGAAUGUGAGCCAUGUUUGGUGGGCAAAUCUGGCACUUUUAAAUACCCAAUGUCAAUGUUCAUAAGAUUCCCCCAAAAAGGUUAUUUGAUAUAGAUAGCAGGACAGUAGCUAUGGAAGUAGGACAUAAUAAUGAGUGUGUAAGGAAAACUCUGCCAAAUCAGCCUAUAUGCUGACUUACAACUGCUUCAGACAGGGGGAAUCUGUUUUAAUUAAAACAAAGAAUGGUGAAGACCUGAUGCAGGUGUUGACAUGAUUUCUGCCGAGUGUCAAAGCAAUGCAAAGAAAUUCAGUGAAGUUCUGGUAAACAGUAACUAUGAUAUAAUAGCCAAAAGCCUUAUUAUCUGGUUGCACACAUAAAUGGAUGAAUGCUAUUCCAACUGUCCCUACCUAUUAUCAAAUGAAACCAGAGCCAAGAGUGGUGGAAUCAG
rnacentral:rRNA from 1 species